rnacentral:lncRNA from 1 species
CCAAUUCAAUAUUUUUAAGUUCCACAAACUCAAUCCAAUUAAAAUAGUUCAAUUGAGCCAACAAGGUCUAACUCACUGGAAAAAGGCCUUGACCUGCAGACAAGAGGUCUCAAGUUUGAACCCCUAUGACAUCUUAGUUAUGUGUAGGGAUGACAUAAAUCCCUGUCGAGCUGGGCCCCUGAACCUAAUGGGGAGACAUUUCAGGGGCAAAUCAAGGACGGGUACAGGGAUCCCCUAAUUUUGAAAGCCCCUGACAGGACCCGCCCCGGAUUCCCCCUUGACACGUACCCGAUACCGGACCUACUUUACUAAACGCCCUAAAGCCCUAGCUUAAGGGAUAAACAAAUCGACUUUUGUCGAAAUUUCAGCAGAGCCUUCCUUGAAAAAAGGACUGUACCAAAAAUUUCCACAUGUACAAACAGCAGAAGAAUAUAUUCCAAUAAGCAGCACACACAAUGCUAAAGCACACACCAUAGUUAAGACUAUUGAAAUGAGCUUCAUGCCCCCUACUCGAACUCGAAAUGAGUAAGUAGAGCAAUUAAGAAUUUAAUUUACAACCUGGGAAAGAAUAAGGGUAGAGAAAAGUUGUAACACCC